rnacentral:piRNA from 1 species
GAGACCAGCCUGACCAACAUGGUGGAACCC